GCAGUAGCCGCGGUAAUACGUAGGUGGCAAGCGUUGUCCGGAAUUAUUGGGCGUAAAGGGCUCGCAGGCGGUUUCUUAAGUCUGAUGUGAAAGCCCCCGGCUCAACCGGGGAGGGUCAUUGGAAACUGGGAAACUUAAGUGCAGAAGAGGAGAGUGGAAUUCCACGUGUAGCGGUGAAAUGCGUAGAGAUGUGGAGGAACACCAGUGGCGAAGGCGACUCUCUGGUCUGUAACUGACGCUGAGGAGCGGAAGCGUGGGGAGCGAACAGGAUUAGAGACCCCUGUAGUCCCUGUCUCUUAUAC
rnacentral:rRNA from 1 species